GCUAGCAGUGCAGGUUGAUUAGGGAUAAUUUCAUUAACGGUCACUACGCUUAUCACUGGUUUUAAUUCUACUCUACUCUAAUUCUUUGCAUAGAAGAAUUUGACAUUAUUAAUAUUUCAAUAAGGUUGCAUAAUUUCUGUAGAUAUUUGGUUGAAUUUUACAUGAUAGCGAAAUAAUGAAGUAUUAUAGUCGUACAACGAUAUACACAAAAUUUUACUUGAUUGCUAGGUCAAAAUUCUAGCUAAAUUUCUAUUGGAUUUUGGCAAUAGUGACCUAAUUAAAACAAAAACGGAAGUUGAUUGAUUCUUUUAUGAGACAAAUUGAAGUUAGGUGACUAUAGUCUUAUUUGAAAUUGAGUUGUAAGUCUAGUGAGCAUGGAUAAAAUUAAGCCUAUGGUUGACAUAAAAUAAUUGUAGCUAGAUGUUUUUGUUAGAGAUUUGGGGAGCCUGCCUAGGGAGAAUAUUUUUUGAAGGGCCUUGUGAAAAAACACACUUUUGGGCUUGACACCACAUUCAACCUAAAAUCUUAAGCAAAUGGGUGUAUGGGUCAUUCCCACUUAUACGUAUCUCACUCAUCCCAUUUUUUUCCGAUGUGAAAAUGUCAUACUUACGUAUUCCUAACAAUCUCUCCCUCAAGUGUGAAUCUCUUCUACAUUGGAUUUAUUGGGCCUGCUCCCCCUCGAAUGGAAAUUUUUUCUUGAGUAUUACGGUACCACCAAAAGCUCCAACUACUCCACCAAGCCUACUCGAGCAUGCACUUCUAAGAGCUACGCCAGAGCCAUCACGUGUACCAAGAGUCUUCACUCCAUCGGUCUGUUUUUCUCCAAAAGAAUGCUUUCCUACUCCAUUGGGCCUACCGGGAGUCUCUGACUCUUCUAUUCAUGUGUCAGACCACCACAGGAAUCAUCGACUACCGUUUUCAUACUCAUCCUUUUGAUACCUUUUGAUAGAGAUUUGAGGAGCUUAAAGCGCCUGAGGAGAAUAUUUCUUGAUGGGCCUUGUGAAAAAAAAAAAACACUCAUGAGUUUAACACUGCAUCCAACUCAAAACCUUAAAACAAUGUGUCUAUGGGUCAUUUCUGCUUGUAUGUCUCUUUUUUUCUAAUGUAGAAAUUUCGCACUUGCAUAUUCCCAACAGUUUCCUGACAUGUCAUGCUAAUAUCUGUAUCUCUCUUAAAGCUUAAUCCUAAUUGUAGAUAUUGAGUUGAUGUACUUCUGUUGCAACUUUGAAUAUCUUUGCCUUGAUGUUA
rnacentral:misc_RNA from 1 species